CAGAAUUUCUUUAUUUGUAUUCAUCAGAUGAGCUAUUAAUUUCUACGCAAUCAUUGAUGUUGAUCCCAUUACAGAAAAUAUUUGGCUUGUUUCAUUAUAUAGUAUAACUUUGGAUGGGAAAUAGAAAGCUAAUUAUGUUAAUGUUCCUGCAAGUGUGAAGUCUUUGCUGUCUACUUCUUGGAUAUUUAAGUUGAGUUCGAUAGUAUGAUCUGAAAUUGAUGACACUCAUUGGAUAUGGCUAAAGUACCAGAAGCCAUUGCACAUAUAACUUCCUAUAUUAGUUUUGAGUUCAAUAUUCCCAUUUAAUUUUGCCAAG
rnacentral:misc_RNA from 1 species